rnacentral:rRNA from 1 species
CAGUCGCCGCGGUAAUACGUAGGGGGCAAGCGUUGUCCGGAAUUAUUGGGCGUAAAGAGCUCGUAGGUGGUUUGUCGCGUUGUUCGUGAAAACUCACAACUCAAUUGUGGGCGUGCGGGCGAUACGGGCAGACUGGAGUACUGCAGGGGAGACUGGAAUUCCUGGUGUAGCGGUGGAAUGCGCAGAUAUCAGGAGGAACACCGGUGGCGAAGGCGGGUCUCUGGGCAGUAACUGACGCUGAGGAGCGAAAGCGUGGGGAGCGAACAGGAUUAGAUACCCGUGUAGUCCCUGUCUCUUAUAC